ACUCCUACGGGAGGCAGCAGUAGGGAAUCUUCCACAAUGGACGCAAGUCUGAUGGAGCAACGCCGCGUGAGUGAAGAAGGUUUUCGGAUCGUAAAGCUCUGUUGUUGGUGAAGAAGGAUAGAGGUAGUAACUGGCCUUUAUUUGACGGUAAUCAACCAGAAAGUCACGGCUAACUACGUGCCAGCAGCCGCGGUAAUAC
rnacentral:rRNA from 2 species